CUCUUGGGACAUUACUUUCCAGUUUCCACACUCUGCGGCAGGAAUCCAGCUGCUGGGCCGGGACAGGAAGCAGUCUAUGGAAGUCAUUGCAAUGGCAUUUCCUGAAGAGCACGAGAAAAAGCUCCAGUUCCGAGGGGAGCUCUGCUUUCUAUCCAGAGAACUCCGAAGCUUAAAGCCAGAGUAGGCCUGGCCUGAGACUCACUGGGGAUAAAAGUAAGCAGCACAAGGUCCCAAAGGUGGCUUCUCUCUAUGAAAACAGAGACUGAAGGAGCCCAAGCAUCAUGGCAGUACCAUCUGGAUGACUGUGGCCAUUCUGAGCACUUUAGGCCAACAACUGCCUUUCUUAACCUUCCAACAAGUCCAGGGCACAUAGCAGGUGACUAGUGAAGCCACUACAUCUCUGGGCCUGCCUGCUCCUGUGACAAGGAGACGGCACUAUCCCGAUCACCAAUCUGCAUGGCUAAAGGUAUCACAAAGACAAGUCCUCAUUUUAUCUAGAUUCUCCAAACAGUAAAAACAACAUGGCUUCCAAUGUGGCUAGCUGCACCAGCCAAUACACCGUGCGCAAAGCUGGUCUCCUCUUGAGUCUCCUCUCAUGAUCUCUACAGCCAUUUAAAGCUAAGAAGUCUUUCCACCCGCCAGUGGCACCAGCUUCUUCUCAAAGUGAACACCUGCUUCUACCCUUACAGAACUCUGAUCAUCACUUCCCUGCUCUAAACCUACUCUUGACGUCUCUUAUUCCAGACCAAAGCCUCAAACUGCCUUGUAAUGUUCUAUGUGCUCAGCAGCCAGCCCCCACCUCCCCUCAGUUUUCAUCUCCUUGAUAGAGGGCAAAAACAAAAUAAAACAAAAAAAUCUCUCUGUUCCCUGCUGCUUAAGCCAAUCUGACCUCUGCCAUUCCUGAAAAUGCCGAGCAUCUCUCCUCCUCAGUACACUCUUCUGCUUGAAAAGCUCACUAUAUGAGCCAGCUAGGCGGUGGUGCCUCAUGCCUUUAAUCCCAACACUCAGGAGAUAGAGGCAGGCGGAUCUCUGUGAGUUCGAUGCCAGUCUGGUCUACAAGAGCUAGUUCCAGGACAGGCUCCAAAGCUACAGAGAAACCCUGUCUCAAAACAAACAAACACCCUUGCUAUAUGGACCCACAUAGUGAGCCAUCUCCUAUCCUUCAGAUCUUCUCAAAUACCACCUCCAGGUAACAUCCUUUGUUGGAGAUCUAGAAACAGUAUUCCAAGAACAUGCCUGUGGGAGACCAGAACGUGUGUGUGUGUGUGUGUGUGUGUGUGUGUGUGUGUGUGUAUUUGGCAUACUUGAAGCUGCUUAGUCAAAGAAAUCCACACUCAGAGACACACAGGAGUAACCUUGAAAUGCUGUUUUCUAUAAAAGAAGCAUCUAUAAAGAAACUUAUAAAAGUAUUUGUAGGCCGGGCGGUGAUGGCGCGUGCUUUUUUAAAAAAAAAAAAAAAAAAAGUGCUUUUAAUCCCAGCACUGGGAGGCAGAGGCAGGCAGAUCUUUGUGAGUUCAAGGCCAGCCUGGUCUACAAGAGCUAGUUCCAGGACUGGCUCUAAAGCUACAGAGAAACCCUGUCUCAAAAAAAAUUAAAAAAAAAGUAUUUGUAUCAGUUGUUGGUCUGUUCUACAGAUCCUAUUACCUGAGAUGCUUUAUCUGAACAGCAAAAUAUUUACUCUUGAUAAUUUGCAGUCAAGCCUCUUAAAAUGUGGAUGGUCACCAUAAUAAUCCCAAAGCCCUAUUCCUCCCUUCCAUUUAUUUAUUUAUUGACUUAUUGGUUUGAGACAGGGUCUCACCAUGUCACCCUAUUGGCCUCAAACUCGAAGAUCUGCCCAUCUCUGCCUCCUGGGUGCUGGGAUUAAAGGCGUGUGCAACCACACUCGGCCUCCUGUUCCUUUCUGUAGUUCAGGACGCUAAACCUCAAUCAUGCAUCUAACCAUUACUUGACAUUGGUUCCUGUGCACACAUGGGUUAUCAAAAUAUUUGUUUUUUUUCUCCUCUUAAUUUGUCUUAUGUCAAGAUAAUUCAUAUUCUAGCCAAAGAAACGACAGAUGAGGGCUGAGCUUUUUUCAUUUUCCUACAUCUUGGCUGUUCAUUUUUUUGAUCACUUUUUAUUUUAUUUCUUUAAUAUUUAUUUAUUUAUCUAUUUAUUAUGUAUACAAUAUUCUGUCUGUGUGUAUGUCUGCAGACCAGAAGAGGGCACCAGACCUCAUUACAGAUGGUUGUGAGCCACCAUGUGGUUGCCGGGAAUUGAACUCAGGACCUCUGGAAGAGCAGACAAUGCUCUUAACCACUGAGCCAUCUCUCCAGCCCUUUUGAUCACUCUUUAAAUUUAAUUUAUUUACUCAUUUAUUUACUGGGGGAGAAGUACACCAUAGACAUAUACAGAGGUCAGAAUACAACCUGCAGAAGAUAGUUCUUCCCUUCCACCAAGUGGGAAUCAGGGAUCUAACUCAGGACAUCAGGCUUGACAGCAUGUACCUUUAUAAGCUAAACCACCUUGCCAGGCCCUUUGAUCAACCUUUUUAAAGUGCCAUCCCAUCCUGCCUUGCUAGGCAUUCUCUAUAAACCAAUCUUAUUUUCUUCAAAGUACCUACUAUCAGCUGAUGCAUAACACACACACAAAUACUGGAAACUAAACUUGGGUCUUCUGUUUUAAGAGUUCUUAAAACACUGAGCCAUUUCUCCAGUCCCCAGACCAUAUAAUAUCAUGGAACUGCUGUGGUAUACACCGUCCAUCAUUGACAAAAAUGUCGCUAUACAAUUAUGUGUAUGUAUGUGUGUAUUCACUUUAGCUUGCAUACAUAUGCACAUACAUAUGGAGGUCAGAGGCUAACCCUGGAUAUUGUUCCUCAGGAGCUAUCUACCUCAUUGGCCUGGAACUCAUUCGUCAGACAAGGGUGGCAGGCCAGCAGGCUCCAGAAAUCCCCUUGUCUCUGCCUUACAGCUUUGGGAUUGAGUGCACACCACUGUGCUUGGCAUUUUCUUUUUCUUUUCUUUCUUUCUUUUUUUCUUUUUAAAAAAAAAUGGAUUUUGGUGAUCAAACUCUGAUUCUUUUUGUUGUUGUUUUCCAAGAUAGAGUUUUUCUGUAAACAGCUCUGGCCAGGCUGGCCUUGAACUCACAAAGAUCCCCCUGCCUCUGCCUCCCAAGCCCCGGGAUUAAAGGUAUGUGCCAAAUUCAGAUUCUUAUGCUAGCAUAGCAAAGCAUUUUAAGACUGAGCCCAGUCUUAAAAUCUAGAAAUGUAGAUUUGUCUGUCUAACAGAAUGAGCCUCAAUAGAGGCAAAAACUUAGUUUUGUUUUUUUCUCAGUACCUAGCAGAGUGUGGGGGGGGGCUCAAUAAUGGUAGAAGAGGUUCCCCCCAUUAUUACUCUGACUUGAUUAGGUCCUUUCUUCAGAUACUCAAUAUCUCUUUCAGAGGUGACUACUGCGCUCAAGAUUAGUGCUCUGGGCUGAGAUGACCAAUGUAAGCAAGAUUUGGACUCUGAGAGUACAGCUGUUAUAAAUGCCUGCACCAAUUUAAACUACCAGUUCCUUCUUUUCCCUUAUGCAAAGGGCUGGGGAUCAUAUAUAAAUGGAGAAGAAUGCAUGCCCAGAAAUGGCUCUGCCAUAACCGGCUCUUCUACACACAUUCUCUCUUUGCUCAUCAAGCAGAAGUGGCAAGUUACCAGGUAUGCUGCCCAACAGGCUCUGGAGACUCUUGAGUGAAGAGACGGGGGUGGGUGGGAUUUUAAUCAAUGAGAGCUAAUGAACCUGCCCCAAGCUGCUGCCUUAGAUGGGUUUAGCAUUUUUCCAGGUGACUGGAACAUUACAUGCAAUAUGGGGCAGCUGGCAAUUCUCAGGUUCCAGUAGCCUCUGCAGAGGUUGGCUGCCCUAGCAGGUACCUCUUCCAUCUGCCUACCGUUUACAGCUGGCAAGAGCCUACCUGGUAUUAGGACCACUAAAGACAGUUAGCAAGUGAUAGAGUCAAGAGCCCAGGUUUACUUGGAGGUGCUUCAGAGGGUGUGUCUGAAGGGUUGGAAUCCUGCCCCUCCUGUAAUCAGCUGAACAAAUAUUUGCCCCCAAAGAGAAUCAAAGCAAGAGAGAAUGAAUAGAAGAGGUCACUGCACAAACCAACAGGAACUAUUUAAUCAUUUAUCUCCCCAGGGAGUUCAUUUACAGACUGGCUUUCGAGUCUGGCAAUCCUUAGCUCAAGGGAGCCCACCUUUACCUCAGUCAACUCUACCCUGCUCAUCUGACCUCUACUGACGACAAGUGACCUCUUUGCCUUUACAAGAGCUACUGGAGGGGAAGAGUGGGGGUGAAGUUUCAAAGAAAUGGGAAACUAGAGACAGGAUGGGGUUUCAGGGCAAACCCAGAAGGUCUCUUGCUCAGUGGUAAAAGCGAAGUGCUUGCCCCGCCCUAGGCCCAGCCUAUGGGCAACUGAAUUCUUGACAUUCCCGAGUCCAUGGUGCGUGGCCCCUUCCACCUCACUUCCUUCAAUGGAUGGCUUGCUUAUUUUCCACAGCUUGUCCAUUUUUGACAUAUUCUGAGGGAUCAGAAUACUUCUCAUAAGCCCCGAGCUCCCCUAUUCGGGAAUGGAGUCACGAUGAAGGUGAAGACUGCCUACUACAGUGGCUACUGGUAAGGAAGCUCUCACCUCCACACCACCUCAUUAGGUGGGAGCAGAAGGAUUCUUUGGAGUAGGCACUCACUGGCGUGAGCCUCUGCUCACAUUAUCUCUAAGAGUCACAAAACUCUGUUAAGCAAGGAGAGCUUGCCACAUUUUUUGUGUGUUAGAAACUAAGGCUCCAGAAGGUAAACCAACCAGUCCAAGGUCACAUGGCUAGUUAAGUGACAGGGCCAGGACGCACACCCACAUCCAGUCUGUCACCAAAUCUUAAUUUCCUAUGGAGCCUCACAGACCCGGUUUGUGCUCUGCCAGCAAACAGCGUUCCAGUAAAGAGGCCCGACGGCCCUGACCAGAAAAGCAAUAGAAAGAGCAGCUGGAGAUCCCCAACCGACCCUGGGCAGUGAGGUGCAAAGUCCUGGGGCUCACUAUAUGACACAGCAAGAGCGCCCAAACAAGCCAGCCACGCAGAAAGCUGCGUACUUUGGGGAAAUGAACUUAGGGGCACAGAACAAACACAGCUGGCACAGACCACCCUUCUCCAAAAUCAAAUAAUCCUCAGUCACCCAAGUCAGUGGGGGCUCCUGCCUGGGCAAGUGGUCUAAGUACCAUGCACGCAGGUAUACAGGGACCUGAGGGUACCAGCUCUUCCGGUUCCCCAGGUAUUGUGUUCCUCACUCCCAGCCAAGGUGACCCAUUCUGCGAGAGCCAGCAGAAGGCAGGGAGAACUUGCCACUCUCACAGGUUUUCAGCUAAGUAAACACAGGCUAUGUUUUUCUUUGCUGAGAAACUGGAACAAACUAUGAAACUCUGGGGCCACAAGCAUAGCCAGAAGGAAAGAUGCAGAUCUCUCGAAGUUAACCUCUUGUGUUGAAACAGAGCCAGGCAGCUUUCCUGAACAAUCAACAUCCUCAACAACCAUGCCAUGCAACAGAAAAGGGACCAACAAGAACAUUUGGGGCUCUCCAAAGAAGAGACAGACAAGGGGCGUGGU